CCAAAAUCUAAAUACAUGGUUAGAUUCAGCAUAUCAAAGAACCCCAAGAAUUCAAUUUUUGAUAAAAUCAAAUAAAGUUCAAUUUUGGACCCUUUAGACCUCAAUGUGGACCAAUUUGAUAACCGGGCCCAAAUAUCAAAAAUCUAAAUACAUGGUUAGAUUCAGCAUAUAUCAAAGAACCCCAUAUAUUCAAUUUUUGGUGAAAUCAAACAAAGUUUAAUUUUGGACCCCGAUUUGGACCAACUUGAAAACUGGGCCUAUAAUCAAAAAUCUAAAUGCAUGUUUAAAUUUAGCAUAUCAAAGAACCCCAAUGAUUCAAUUUUUGUUGCAAUCAAACAAAGUUUAAUUUGGGACCCAGAUUUGGACCAACUUGAAAACUGGGCCCACAAUCAAAAAUCUAAGUACAUGUUUAGAUUCAGCAUAUCAAAGAACCCCAAGAAUUCAAUUUU
rnacentral:lncRNA from 1 species